rnacentral:rRNA from 1 species
UACGAAGGGGGCUAGCGUUGUUCGGAAUUACUGGGCGUAAAGGGCUCGUAGGUGGCCAACUAAGUCAGACGUGAAAUCCCUCGGCUUAAACCGGGGAACUGCGUCUGAUACUGGAUGGGCUUGAGUUCGGGGAGAGGGAUGCGGAAUUCCAGGUGUAGCGGUGAAAUGCGUAGAUAUAGGAGGAACACCGGUGGCGAAGGGCGGCAUC